rnacentral:misc_RNA from 1 species
AAUUUGAGUAGUUUUCUCAUGAAGGCAUCAACAAAUUGUUCAUAAUUUCAGUUCCUACCCCUCUUGAAUACACUGCAAGAAACCGGUUCAGGUUUGCAAAAUGAUAUAGUAACUAGGAGAAAUAACUAAACACAAUCUCAAAAUCUGCACUAGAAAAUAAUACCACCUUGAAAAGUUAUAAUUUUAUUUGUGUUCCAAAAGAAUUUUAUAAUCGACUCAUUUUACAUUCCACUACACAAAUAUUGGCUGUUAAUGUAACAAACCCCUUUGGAUAAUUUUUUAACAUCGAAUAAACCCAAAUCAGAGGAUUCGAUCUUGAAGAUCAGUUAUUAAGGUCGAUGCCAAUGAACUGAGUUUCUUCCCAGUCUCUCCAGCCAUAUUCUUGAGGGAAGAAAUAUCCUGUUGUGCCUGGAAAGAUAUCCGGUUAAUCAGAUCACUUGCAGCAAGAUCAAUGGAGUGAUCAUUGCUGUUACCAAAAAGAUCAGCACUGGAGAUUGCUGAGGAACCUGUGAAUUUCUGCAAGGAAACUUGAGCAUCAACAUCGGUGGCUUUGCUCUGAUCUCCAAAGUACUGGGCUGAUGAGAUUGAUUUUGCAUUUGAGAACUUUUUCCUUGCUUCAUCUGUUUCCUGAAUCUGCACCUUUGAGGAGUUUGAGUUUGAUUUCCUCUGAAAUCCACUAUCCAUUCCAAAUUCUGCAAAGAAGCUUGAUGACUUUGGUGGUGAUACAUGGCUAAUCACUUGCGGACCUCCAGAAAUGAGCUCAGUAGAUUGGACAUCAUCCACAUAUUCAAAGCGAGAUACAAACGAUGUGCCAGCUUUUGGAGUGGUGGUGUUACUAGAUGAAGGAACAGGAAGAGCUGGUUCUUCAGGUUUCUGAUCAUAGAGAUUUUCACUGGGCUUUGUGGUAAGCUUUCUAGCACCAAGGCCCCCCGUCUUCCCGGUUUUCUUUGCACCAACAGGCUUCUUGAUUAAACCGGUAAUAACUGAACGAGAAGUUUUUAGGGAAUGAGCAACAUCAGUUGUUUCUUGCUUUUCUAAUGACCUUUCUUUAGGAGUCUCAUCGACCUUGUUAUCAGGAAGUCCAUUGGACACUUGGGCUGACUGAAAAGCAACAGGCAAUGAUGGCAAGCCUGCAUCUUCUGCCAUA